CUGGCUCAGGAUGAACGCUGGCGGCGUGCCUAAUACAUGCAAGUCGAACGCGCAGCGAGAGGUGCUUGCACCUUUCAAGCGAGUGGCGAACGGGUGAGUAACACGUGGAUAACCUGCCUCAAGGCUGGGGAUAACAUUUGGAAACAGAUGCUAAUACCGAAUAAAACUUAGUAUCGCAUGAUAUCAAGUUAAAAGGCGCUACGGCGUCACCUAGAGAUGGAUCCGCGGUGCAUUAGUUAGUUGGUGGGGUAAAGGCUUACCAAGACGAUGAUGCAUAGCCGAGUUGAGAGACUGAUCGGCCACAUUGGGACUGAGACACGGCCCAAACUCCUACGGGAGGCUGCAGUAGGGAAUCUUCCACAAUGGGCGCAAGCCUGAUGGAGCAACGCCGCGUGUGUGAUGAAGGCUUUCGGGUCGUAAAGCACUGUUGUAUGGGAAGAAAUGCUAAAAUAGGGAAUGAUUUUAGUUUGACGGUACCAUACCAGAAAGGGACGGCUAAAUACGUGCCAGCAGCCGCGGUAAUACGUAUGUCCCGAGCGUUAUCCGGAUUUAUUGGGCGUAAAGCGAGCGCAGACGGUUGAUUAAGUCUGAUGUGAAAGCCCGGAGCUCAACUCCGGAAUGGCAUUGGAAACUGGUUAACUUGAGUGUUGUAGAGGUAAGUGGAACUCCAUGUGUAGCGGUGGAAUGCGUAGAUAUAUGGAAGAACACCAGUGGCGAAGGCGGCUUACUGGACAACAACUGACGUGAGGCUCGAA
rnacentral:rRNA from 1 species